GUUCUGGCAGUUGUUGUUGCUGGGGCUUAAGAAAGGGUGGUGGCUGGACAGAACACGGCAGCUGGGGCUGGAGAGAGGGUGGUGGCUGGACAGAGCACUGCAGCUGGGGCUGGAGAGAGGGUGGUGGCUGGACAGAGCACUGCAGCUGGGGUUGAAGAGAGGGUGGUGGCUGGACAGAGGACUGCAGCUGGGGUUGAAGAACACUGAGGGUGGUGGCUGGACAGAGGACUGCAGCUGGGGCUGGAGAGAAGGUGGUGGCUGGACAGAACACUGCAGCUGGGGCUGGAGAGAAGGUGGUGGCUGGACAGAACACUGCAGCUGGGGCUGGAGAGAGGGUGUUGGCUGGACAGAACACCGCAGCUGGGGCUGGAGAGAGGGUGUUGGCUGGACAGAACACUGAGGCUGGGGCUGGAGAGAGGGUGGUGGCUGGACAGAACACUGCAGCUGGGGUUGGAGAGAGGGUUUUGUCUCUAACACUGACUCUCCUUCAGACACACAGCCAUUUGGCGUAGAGGUAAACAGUCCAAAAACACUCCCCUCACUCUCCUCUUUGAUCCAGUCAGCGCUGGUGAGACUGACCCUCCGUUUGAUCCCUUCUAC
ensembl:lncRNA